UAAAAAGCUAUGAAAAAGACGAGUAAAUAAUCUAAUUCUUUUCAGUGAAUUAGUGCUAGUGUGAAACUAAUAGACCCUGGAUUAUUGAAAAACACUUUUAGCAGCUCACCGAAAUAAUAAUUCUUAAAGUAGGUUGAGACGUCUCCGGUACGUUACCACACCGGUGGAGCAUGAUGGUGCUCCAUAAGAGGUCUAUUAUUAGACAAGUUGGGUGGUACCGCGGAAAAAAGCCUUUCGUCCCUAUU
rnacentral:ncRNA from 1 species